rnacentral:tRNA from 1 species
GCCUUCGUGGUGUAGUGGUAAGCACGCUGGGCACGUAUUCCAGAGGUCUUCCGUGGUUCGAUUUCCAGCGAGGGCA